GGCGGUUUGGGUCCUGCCAACGAGACCCCUCCUCAUCCAGUCACCCGACAUCUGUAGAGACAGCCAUCAGCCAUCACCACCAGUAAAAUGUGCUCUUGUCCAAAUUUAGUGCGCGGUUCGUUCCAUUUGUCCCCACUUUCGCGAGGGCGCCUCAGUUGAAUUGUAAUGAGGGGAGUGGGCAUUGGUCGAUAGACGUCAUUAAGUAAUAAGGCGGCGCUUGGCUCCUACAGUGUGGGGGGUAGCGGUGUGUGCACCGUCGAUUCGUUAUUCCUUAGGCUUUUCUCUUACCUCACCUCUAAUUGGGACUCAUCGUCCUGUUCCAGAUGUUCCAGAUGUUCCAGAUGUUCCAGAUGUGAGACGUGAGGUAUAGAAUACUUUCUGAAAACCAUAUGUUACGGGAUAGGAGCGAUGCAGAUCCUUUCGCGGGGUCGUAGUUGCGGUGUGUUUGCAGUGUGUUGUUGUCGUAGACCGAGGGCGCGGCUCCUCGACUUCCUGAUGGCUUUCAGAAUCCUUUAAGACAUCACAUGACUGUCGAACGGUGUCGAAGGCAUCGCCCUUGGCCCACUCGCGUUACGGGUCAAAAGGGGACCCACGGGACUCCCCGGUCGUGUGUAUGACUUACGAGUGUUCGAUGCUGAGGAGGCCGGGGCUGAGAAAUGGGCUACAAUGCAGCUGAUGAUUACUGCGAAGCAUUGUAUUGAAAAGAAUGUCGCAGUGCCCCCUGCACUUUCUUGGCAUGCAAGAAAGGGCGCAAACGUAGCUCCUUUCGCAUACACGCCUGCAUGUGGACAUGGCAUUAGCAUGAAGCAAGGUCCUUUCCAGACUGGGAAACAGUGUGAGAGCUGAAAAGCUGAUCUGUAGCCUCCAGAAACCUCCAAAACGGUACUGCCGACUUGCCAUUUCCUAAACAAAAACAGAGGGUAACCUUCAUGUAAACAUGUUUGUUGAUGCAGAGGAUGUAUCCAAAACAGUGCAUUAGAAUUUUUGUUCCGAGUUGAUGCACAGCAUGGGUCUUCACACUUGCUAACCGAAGAAGGUAGGCUCCAGGUACCGCGCUGGUGCCAUAAUGCGGUUAUCCACCUUGGCUUUAGCAAGUGACAGGUCUGAAUCUCGUGUUUUUUCUCCUUUACAAUACUUAGAAGGUUUCCUUGAGAGCCUACUCUGGUAUGCGGAAAGCAUGCUACGGUGGCGCCAGUUGCACUGCUGCUAGUUGCAGGCUAUCCGGUACUUGUAACAGCUUUGAUUCUAUGCCAGCAACAGUCACAUUUUGAGCAUUCCUCAAGAAAGGACGCAUCCCUGUAUCAUUAGUCCCAAGGAAACAUCGGAAACGGCGGUGCAGCAGGAGGAAAAGUAUCCUGGCUUAAGGAAUCAUGUGAGCAGAUUACUGCCUGCUUCUUGUGUCAAGAAAUUACAUAAAGAAAUGGACAGAGGGCAUUCCUCAUGGGCAUGGCAUAAUCCCGCCCUAGCGAACUACUGGCAACGGUCCCCAACGCGGCUCCAUGAGUUUGAUAGGAACUGCGCCAAGAAGCUCAGUGCACAGAUGGAUUGCUAGCCACGAAAGAGAUACGUGGAGGCGCACAGUCAUGC
rnacentral:lncRNA from 1 species